rnacentral:rRNA from 1 species
ACGGGAGGCAGCAGUGGGGGAUAUUGCACAAUGGGGGAAACCCUGAUGCAGCGACGCCGCGUGAGUGAAGAAGUAUUUCGGUAUGUAAAGCUCUAUCAGCAGGAAAGAUAAUGACGGUACCUGACUAAGAAGCACCGGCUAAAUACGUGCCAGCAGCCGCGGUAAUACGUAUGGUGCAAGCGUUAUCCGGAUUUACUGGGUGUAAAGGGAGCGCAGGCGGUACGGCAAGUCUGAUGUGAAAGCCCGGGGCUCAACCCCGGUACUGCAUUGGAAACUGUCGAACUAGAGUGUCGGAGGGGUAAGUGGAAUUCCUAGUGUAGCGGUGAAAUGCGUAGAUAUUAGGAGGAACACCAGUGGCGAAGGCGGCUUACUGGACGAUCACUGACGCUGAGGCUCGAAAGCGUGGGGAGCAGACAGGAUUAGAUACCCUGGUA